rnacentral:rRNA from 1 species
CCAAUACGGGAGGCAGCAGUGAGGAAUAUUGGUCAAUGGGCGAGAGCCUGAACCAGCCAAGUCGCGUGAAGGAUGACUGUCUUAUGGAUUGUAAACUUCUUUUAUACGGGAAUAACAAGAGCUACGUGUGGCUCCCUGCAUGUACCGUAUGAAUAAGCGUCGGCUAACUCCGUGCCAGCAGCCGCGGUAAUUUGG